rnacentral:misc_RNA from 1 species
UGGUUUCCCAUUCGAAGCGUUUCAGUGAACCUUGUCAUAAGCGGUAAAGAUGGCUGCCGACAGUGACAGCGACAUGACCUUUGCACUACCGGAUUUAUCGGGUUUGUCUGAAGCGGAACGCCUCCAGGUCAUAGCUGUUAUGCAGAGAGCCAAGGAGUUUGAAGAACAAGAACAAACAAAAAAUCGAAGAUUGAAGAUGGAGGGCCACUUACUAAAAUACACUAACGUCAUGAAAGGCUGGCAGACCCGUUGGUUCCUCAUGGACCCUGAAUCAGGCAUGCUGGAGUAUUUUGAGAAAGAGGAACACAAAAAGCAAAGGCCGAGGGGUUCAGUCCACUUAGCGGCUGCUGUUGUCAGUCCUUCUGAUGAAGACUCACAGACCUUUACUGUAACAGCUGCAAAUGGAGAGACCUUUAAGUUAAGAGCCAAUGAUGCCAAAGAACGCCAGCACUGGGUAGAUCGGCUGCGUUCAACAGCAGAGUAUCACACAGCUAACAUUGCACAGCAAUACUCAGGCUUAUAUCAGCGCAAAGAUGCUGCAGGUUCAUACAUAACAAAGGAUGGAACUCUGUUCAGGCGAACUGACCCAUCUGGUGGCCGCAGGUCCCACUACAGCAGUCAGGAGAGUGUGCACAGCACCCCAGGAAAGAUGUCUUGGUCCAUGAGGUCAAGGACUCCACCACUGGCCCGCUGGCCAGUCAUUGGGAAGUUGAGCAGGAAGCAGAUACCAGCCCACACACAUGCAUUGCCUCUUCCCUUUACAGACGUGCAAGGAUUUCUGGUGGAGGCCCAAGACUUUUCCCAGAGUCUUUCAGACAAAAUAGCAACGCUGCCCUACCAUGGUGAGGACUGCUUCAUGACUGGACUGGACAAGGACCUACUCAUGCUAAAGGCCACAUCUGGUGCAGCACUGCGCUGUGUAGAAGAAUGUCUCCUUUUGCUGCAGAAUGGGCAGGUUUUGUGCAGUUCAAUGCCACAAAGUACAUCUGUGUCUGGACAGCUUUCCACUAAGAAAUCUAUUCCAUGCAGUACCUCCCUCCCAGCAGACCUCUCACAGCACAGUUCCAACACUGUGACAUCAUCACCUGUUGACAGUUAUGGGUCAACCAGGUCUGUACUUCAGACAUUGCAGGACUGUAAUUUUGAAGGCACAAUAACCAUUAAUCGAGAUGAAGAAGAGGAGGACAGUGAUGUUUACAGUGAUUCAGAGCUGGGAGCAGUGGAAGAACAUAAGAGUAUUAUCCUCCAUCUGCUUUCACAGUUGAAAUUGGGAAUGGACCUCACCAAGGUUGUUCUUCCAACAUUCAUUCUGGAGCGGCGAUCACUGCUGGAGAUGUUUGCUGACUGCAUGGCACAUCCACACAUUUUUCUUCAAAUUCCUGAUGUUGGGAGUCCAGAAGAAAGGAUGCUUCUGGUGCUCGAAUGGUAUCUCACUUCCUUCCAUGCUGGUCGUCAGGGAUCUGUAGCAAAAAAGCCAUACAACCCAAUAAAAGGGGAGACUUUCCACUGCUCCUGGCGCCUGCCGCAAUCAAGUGAGGAAGUCAAGGACAUUACAAGCUGUCAGUCAAAGCAAGGCAUCCAGCUGACAUAUUGUGCUGAGCAAGUGUCUCACCACCCUCCAGUGUCUGCGUUCUACUUUGAGUGUCCAGAAAAGAAGAUAUGCAUGAAUGCCUCAAUAUGGACAAAGUCUCGGUUCAUGGGAAUGUCCAUUGGUGUGGUUAUGGUUGGCAAAGUGAGUCUGCGACUGCUGCAGUAUGAUGAGGAAUAUGUAUUUGGACUGCCCAGCGCUUACGCACGCUCCAUCCUUACUGUACCUUGGGUAGAGCUUGGGGAUAAGGUUUCUCUUGUGUGUGAGAAGACCAACCUUACAGCAUCCAUUAUCUUCCAUACCAGACCCUUCUAUGGAGGUAAGCUUCACAGAGUGUCUGCUGAAGUUAAAAACACCACUGGAGCACAGCUGUGUAAAGUUUCUGGGGAAUGGAAUGGAAUAUACGAGUUUGUUUACUCUGAUGGAAGGACACGCACUGUGGACACCCAGAAACUAAAGAUUUGGCGCAAGUGUGUUCGGCCAGUUGAGAAGCAGGGGGAGUUUGAGUCUCGGCGUUUAUGGCAGCAUGUCACCAAUGCUUUGAAUGCAGGGGAUGUCAACACUGCUACUGAGCAUAAACAUUUGUUGGAAGAACGACAGAGGGAAGGAGAGAGGCAUCGUAAAGACUCUGGCACAGUUUUUCCAACAAAGCUUUUUCAUUUGGAAGGAGACACUUGGGUGUAUAACAAAAUGCUGAAGCUGACAGACUGUCCGGAAGACACCAUAGGAUGAUCCUCCUGAUUCAGCACACCCCUUUGUGAUCCGCAUGAUGGCUUGACAGCCGUGUCAGUGAUGCAAUAUUAUAGGCUAGAAUUUUUGUGUGGACAGCAGGGGUGCUGCUGCCUAUGUGUCUUGUGUUCAGAGCGACCUGCAGGCAUGGAUCAACGAGCUUAGCAUGGCUGGUUCCAUGAGAAAUAAAGUAACUGCAAACCGGUAUUGAAAUACUGUGGUAUAUAGUGAUGGUAACAGGGUGAAGCCUUAGUUGUCACAAAAUAACUGUGAUUGUUGGAAACAGAUUCAAUCUCUGUUCCAUUUAUCACCAUGUUUCAUGUUCACUUGCAUACUCAGGAAAGUGUGCUACCGCAGUGCAGCUGAAACAGGAAACUGUUCUGAUUAUAUCAUAUCGCUAGACGUUUUUGUCUAGCUUUUUCUUUCUGAAGAACACAGUGAAGGUGGCAAGAAGAAGCAGCUGUAAAAGUGACAAGUGGCUCAUACGUGUUGGUGCAUCAUGACUCAGCUUCUCAUUUAUCCUGUAUGGUCAAUGCUUGAGUGGUAAAUAAGAUGGCUUUCAGAGGAAGGAACUGGGGUUAAAGAGAUGGGCCACUAAACUGCACUCUACUGGUCCCCUUGAGUGGCUGUGAUAGAUUUAUUAUUUAAAUCAAGACUAGCCUUGAAUUCUUUUGUCAUCAAUAACAUGCUCUAUGUGGUGACAGAGAUGCCUACAAAUACUGUACAGUAAUUUUCUAGUAAGAUAAUUCCAAAAAUGCGCAUUAAAACAAGUCUGGGCAAGUCA